rnacentral:rRNA from 1 species
UACGUAGGGUGCAAGCGUUAAUCGGAAUUACUGGGCGUAAAGCGUGCGCAGGCGGUUUUGUAAGUCUGUCGUGAAAAUCCCCGGGCUCAACCUGGGAAUUGCGAUGGAGACUGCAAGGCUAGAAUCUGGCAGAGGGGGGUAGAAUUCCACGUGUAGCAGUGAAAUGCGUAGAGAUGUGGAAGGAACACCGAUGGCGAAGGGCAGCCCCCUGGGUCAAGAUUGACG